AAUGCAACGAAAAAAUCUUCAGAUGGUUUGAGAAAAAAAACUUGAGCGGAACCAGAAUCAAACGUAAACCCAUCCUCAUCUGGGUGGCACCGAAUGUCUAUAUUUAUAUUCAUUUACAGACUUAAACUGUUCGUAAUACCACAGUGGUGCAGGCAGUGAGGCAGUGAAUAUUAUUUGUACAAGUUGCACAAGUAUUCACCUAUAUUCACUAUUGUGUAUCAAAAGUCAAAUAAUGAUGUUACAUAACAGCUUGAAUACAGUUAAAAAAAAAAAAAAAAAGGUCUUCCAGGACCUCUAUAUAUAAUACAGUUUCUGGUAAUGAAUCUGUAAUCUGUUCAUAAAAAGCCACACGCCUUGGAAGAUGGCGCAAUGUCCAAACAACAUCAAGGGACUCAAGCUAAUGCAACAUUAAAUCUGCCAACACUAUCAACCCUACAGUGAAGGACAACAGCAUGUACAGUUAAAUAGAAUCCAUGUGGGUGCAGUUAAUGUCAACAGUUUACAACAAAGGACCAGGACCAAAGGUUGCAUUUAACAGGCUGCACACCUUAACAACAAUGUAAAUGUAAUGAAUGGAAAUUUGGUGCCACCCAGAUGAGGAUGGAUUCUCUUGAGUCUGGUUCCUCUCAAGGUUUCUACCACAUGGCAUUUCCUUUAAGCAAGGAGUUUUUCUACAGUCACAGGUUUAAAAAUCAUCAUUGGUGAAGCUUUUCUCCUGAUGCCGUGC